GCAAUGGCGUGGUUUCCUUCUCUUCUCCUUGAAGGGGGUAAUUAUCUUUCAGUUCCAGGUACUUUUCAAUCAGUUAAGGACUCCUCCUUAGACAGCAUCCUCCACAUUCAAUUCAGCAACAAUGAUAAAUCAAGUGCCUGCAGAUGUAUGUCAUCUGCAUAAUAAGUUUUUCUUUAGACUUUGCAAAGAUGCCAAUGUCAGAUUUGUAACUGUUAUAUCAGUGUCUCUCAGCCAAGCAAUGUAAAAGAUGAUCUCUCAGAGCUUGGAGAAAAAGGAUAGCUUUUUCUUAGAUGUUGGAAUGGUCAUUGAAAGUUAGGAUUGCUGCAAACUCACAAUGUAUCCUGUAGAACUUUGUAUCAGAAUGCAUGAAAAAACUAUUUAAGUGUUAACAUGUUGUGCACAUUGAAUCAACUUGAUAGUAGUACUUCCUUUCUGGUGA